CCCUUAGAUGUUCUGGGCCGCACGCGUGCUACACUGAGUAAAUCAAUGGGUAAGGGAACACGAAAGUGCAACCUAAUCUUCAAAUUUGCUCGUGAUGGGGAUCGACGGUUGCAAUUUUCCGUCGUGAACGAGGAAUACCUUGUAGGCGCGUGUCAUCAUCACGCGCCGAAUACGUCCCGGCCCUUUGUACACACCGCCCGUCGCUCCUACCGAUUGAGUGAUCCGGUGAGGCUCUGGGACCUGGACGGAAAGAGCGUUUCGCUUGUUCUGUUUGGGAAACUUGGUCGAACCUUAUCAUUUAGAGGAAGGAGAAGUCGUAACA
rnacentral:rRNA from 1 species